UACGAAGGUCCCAAGCGUUAUCCGGAUUUAUUGGGUUUAAAGGGUGCGUAGGCGGGUUGUUAAGUCAGGGGUGAAAUCCCGGAGCUCAACUCCGGAACUGCCUUUGAUACUGGCAACCUAGAGGCUGGAAGAGGUUAGUGGAAUUCCCAGUGUAGAGGUGAAAUUCGUAGAUAUUGGGAAGAACACCAGUGGCGAAGGCGGCUAACUGGUCCAGUACUGACGCUGAGGUGCGAAAGCGUGGGGAGCAAACAGG
rnacentral:rRNA from 1 species